UUUAACAAGUGACAUCAAUAAGGAAUCAUAGCUUUCACCUGAAUUCACCUGCAGACGGUGGGAAUUGCAUGUUCUUCAAAAGCUCUUUUAUUCCAAGGACCUGGAGAAGAAGCACUGUAGCAGCUUCGGAGACUGAGGUAAACAUCUGAAAUCUGCCGCUCGCUGCAGAGUGCAGGGGGGGUCCCGUGCUGGAUCUAAAAGGCUGGGAUGGUUCAUUCCUUGGCUGCCGGACAAUGCCAGAG